rnacentral:rRNA from 1 species
GUUGAACGCUGGCGGCGGGCCUAACACAUGCAAGUCGAGCGGAUGAAGGGAGCUUUCUCCUGUCUUCAGCGGCGGACGGGUGGGUAAUGCCUAGGAAUCUGCCUGGUCGUGGGGGCUAACGUCCGGAAACGGGCGCUAAUCCCACAUACGUCCUGAGGGUGAAAGUGGUGGAUCUUCGGACCUCACGCUACUUGCUGAGCCUAGGUCGGAUUAGCUAGUUGGUAGGGUAAAGGCCUACCAAGGCGACGAUCCGUAACUGGUCUGAGAGGAUGAUCAGUCACACUGGAACUGAGACACGGUCCAGACUCCUACGGGAGGCAGCAGUGGGGAAUAUUGGACAAUGGGCGAAAGCCUGACCCAGCCAUGCCGCGUGUGUGAAGAAGGUCUUCGGAUUGUAAAGCACUUUAAGUUGGGAGGAAGAGCAGUAAGUUAAUACCUUGCUGUGUUGACGGUACCAACAGAAUAAGCACCGGCUAACUUCGUG